UACGGAGGGUGCAAGCGUUGCUCGGAAUUACUGGGCGUAAAGGGUUCGUAGGUGGCCGGUUAAGUCAGACGUGAAAUCCCUCAGCUCAACUGGGGAACUGCGUCUGAGACUGAUCGGCUCGAGUGCAGGAGAGGAACGCGGAAUUCCAGGUGUAGCGGUGAAAUGCGUAGAUAUCUGGAGGAACACCGGUGGCGAAGGCGGCGUUCUGGACUGCAACUGACACUGAUGAACGAAAGCCAGGGGAGCAAACGGG
rnacentral:rRNA from 1 species